UCGAACGGAAGAUUGCAGAGAUGAGAUUUCGGUCAAAUCAAGUGUAUCUUUAGUGGCGGACGGGUGAGUAACGCGUGGGUAACCUGCCAUAUACAGGGGGAUAACACUUAGAAAUAGGUGCUAAUACCGCAUAAGCGCACAUGGCCGCAUGGCCAGGUGUGAAAAACUCCGGUGGUAUAUGAUGGACCCGCGUCUGAUUAGCUAGUUGGUGAGGUAACGGCCCACCAAGGCGACGAUCAGUAGCCGGCCUGAGAGGGUGGACGGCCACAUUGGGACUGAGACACGGCCCAAACUCCUACGGGAGGCAGCAGUGGGGGAUAUUGGACAAUGGGGGGAACCCUGAUCCAGCGACGCCGCGUGAGUGAAGAAGUAUCUCGGUAUGUAAAGCUCUAUCAGCAGGGAAGAAAGAAAUGACGGUACCUGAGUAAGAAGCCCCGGCUAACUACGUGCCAGCAGCCGCGGUAAUACGUAGGGGGCAAGCGUUAUCCGGAAUUACUGGGUGUAAAGGGAGCGUAGACGGUGAUGUAAGUCUGGAGUGAAAGGCGGGGGCCCAACCCCCGGACUGCUCUGGAAACUAUAUGACUGGAGUGCAGGAGAGGUGAGCGGAAUUCCUAGUGUAGCGGUGAAAUGCGUAGAUAUUAGGAGGAACACCAGUGGCGAAGGCGGCUCACUGGACUGUAACUGACGUUGAGGCUCGAAAGCGUGGGGAGCAAACAGGAUUAGAUACCCUGGUAGUCCACGCCGUAAACGAUGAUCACUAGGUGUGGGUGGGUAUGGACCCAUCGGUGCCGCAGCAAACGCAGUAAGUGAUCCACCUGGGGAGUACGUUCGCAAGAAU
rnacentral:rRNA from 1 species